rnacentral:rRNA from 1 species
GAUGAACGCUGACAGAAUGCUUAAAACAUCAGCCAUUGAUUGGUGGCGGACGGGUGAGUAACGCGUAAAGAACUUGCCUCACAGCUAGGGACAACAUUUGGAAACGAAUGCUAAUACCUCAUACUGUGAGAGCGCUUUGCGUCCCAUUAGCUAGUUGGGGAGGUAACGGCUCACCAAGGCGAUGAUGGGUAGCCGGCCUGAGCGGGUGAUCGGCCACAUGGUGCCUGGGACACCGCCCUUACGCCUGCGGGUGGCAGCAGUGGGGAAUAUUGGACAAUUGACCAAAGGCUGAUCGAGCAAUUCUGUUUGCACGAUGAAGUUUUCGGAAGGUACAGUGCUUUCAGUUGGGAAGCGGUACCAACAGAAGAAGUGACGGCUAAAUACGUGCCAGCAGCCGCGGUAAUAC